GUAAAACUCUGUUCUUUACUUUUUUCCCCCUUGCAGUUUUGAUCUUACUAACUUCAUAAAAGAAGUACAAAUUAAAAAUGGAAACAAACUUUCAGGAUUGAGCUCAGAUGAAAUCCUUACCCGAGUGACAGAACUCAUUCUGGACCAUCAAAAUAAGAAAAAGGCUCCAACCUCAGCAAAGAGAACCAAAAAGCCAGCAUCCUGCGUUGUAACUCAGACUCUGAAAGUAGCCAAGUCUGCCGUGGGAAAUGUGUCUAGCCUAUCCAAGGCAAGGCCAUCCUAUAAAACUGUUGCAAACAAAACAACUCAGCCAUCACAGCCAACCCACCAGCCGUGGAGACUUGUUGGAGGACCAUCACAAUCAAAAUGGAUAAAAUCAAAUGAUUCUACUACAUCUGAUGAUGACCCCUGCAUAAUAUGCCAUGAAGAGCUAAGCCAGGAAGAUAUGUGUGUGCUAGAAUGUGGACACAGUUUUCACAGACGGUGUAUUGGAACCUGGCUUAAAACACAAAGUACAUGCCCAACAUGUCGAGUUCAUGCUCUGUUACCUGAAGAUUUCCCUAAGCUUCCUGGACGAAACCGACAUGCUUAAAUUUUGCCUUAUUAAUAUUCAGAUUAGCAAGAAGAUGCAAUUCAUAUUAGUAGCUGCAAAUAAAUAAUCUUGGUAACAAAUGUGUAUGUGUAAUGUGCUGCCUAGAAACAUAAGCGAAAUCCUGGCUCUGUUGAAGUCAAUGAAGCCAGAAUUUCACUGAGUGUUCUAGAUCAUGAGAAAUAAAUAUUAUCAUUUUUAUUCCAAUUAAAAUUUAGAAGAAAAAAAAUCAAACCAGUUAAUUUUUAAUACUGAAAAUGCUAGCUUUUUUUCCGAUUACUGGCCAAAUGGAUGUGUAUAUUAACACACCAUAGGCUAUCUUGAAGAGGAUUUUAUGUAUUAUCCGUUUCGUAUAUUUAAACUGAACAAAAUGUAUAUCCCAAAUGUAUCAGGGUAAAACAUGGGGUAUUUUUUUAUUUUAAAGGGAUACCUAAGCCACGUAGGCCACCAAAUAUACCUUCCUCUAGGGAAGGCCUAUGUGCUUCAUCCCUGGAAGAUGAAGAGUGAUCUCUCUUGAGAAUUCAAGCAAAAGGUUAGAUAAUUACAUAAACAGCUAUUAAGGAACAUAAUUUUUGGGACCUAAAUACUGUCCUUUUUUUGAAAGUUCUCUACCUUUAAAAGGUCCGAUCAGAUACUAUUUGACUCCAAAUUUAGCAUUUGUAAAAAUUUGUCAAUUAAAAAAAAAGACUUCAGCUGAUGUUUACAUGAAAAAGAAAUCAAAAUUCCAAUUAGUUCAUUUAAUUAACAUUCUCCUGCAAAGUUGGACCACAAACAUUACCGUGUUGCUUCAGUGUAAAAAAUAAAUACUAACUUUUUGUCAGCUUGGUCAGUCAAAAUAAAUUAAACUGCUUAAAUAAUGAAAAGUAGGAUCUUUUAAAACUUCAGUUUUAAUUAGCUGUGCUGUUUGUAAGUUUUUU